GCCCAUUACAAAACGACACACAAUUAGGGAGUACAAACUUCCACCUCUUCAUUCUACAAUCUACAGCUGUCUUUUUCUCACUGCUGGUUUGCAUUUCAUUCAUUGGCGUUACCUAGACGCUCUUACAACUUACCUACCUAAUCUGUCAAAACUAGAAAGAAACAAGACACAUCCAAUUCUUUGUCCAAUCUAUUGAGAAAUCACAGAACAAUAACAGUUCUGCUUUAAGCAAUGACUACUAUCAACAGCCAGAUAUAUCCAUUUUGAACCACUCUCCAAGCCACGUCAUUUUGCAUCCUCAGUACCAUCUGCACCGCUGUGACCAGCAGCUGCAUUCCCUUGGCCAUCAGCACCUGAUGCCCCAGCCUCCGAGGCAUCCUGUUUGCUUCCCCCACGAACAUCAUUAGAGCCUGCAGUUGCAGAUGGGCCAUUGCUUCCAAGAGUUGCCUCAGUAUGCAUGGGGUGCAUGCCAUUGUUGGCCCCCAUGGGUCUCAUUCCCAUUUGCCCUUGAAUGGCUGCUUGGUGCAACUGCUGAGGAUCCUGCAUUUGAUGAGGGUUAUUGAAUUGUAAUGGCAUCUUUUGGGGGAAAAUGCCCGACUGCUGAGCCAUUGCUGCUGCCUGAGGAUGUUGCAUGUAAUAUGCUCCUUGCUGCAUUGCAGGCUGUGGGGCCAUCUGGGGAGGCAUUGUUGGUGCCUGUGGUUGUGCAUCAGCAAUUGCAGCUAAAUACAUUAAAUUCUUUUGCAGCUGGGCUUGAUACUGGGCACAUUCAGCAAGUUUUCCCAGGUUUUGAUUGUCCAAUAUCGCCAUGAUCAAUUUUUUAUUUUCAUCAAGGUACUU
rnacentral:misc_RNA from 1 species